AGUAUUAGUUAAGUUCUUUAAACCCAAAGAAUUUGGCGGUAUUUCAUUCCAUUCAGAGGAACCUACCCCGUAAUCGAUAAUACACGAUAAAUAUUACUUAAUUUAUUUGUUUGUAUAUCUCCGUUAUCAGAAAAUCUUUAUAGAGUUAUAAUUUUCUUAAUUUAUAAUUAUAAAUUAUUUCAGGUCAAGGUGCAGCUUAUAAUUAAGAGGAGGUGGGUUACAAUAAUUUUUUUUAUUAUGGAUUUAUUAUUGAAAUUUUAAUAAUGAAGGUGGAUUUGAUAGUAAUUUAACUUAUUUAAUUUAAUUGAUAUUGGCUCUGAGGUGUGU
rnacentral:rRNA from 1 species